GCAGCACAAAUCGGCAGUUCUAAUCAAAUAUUUCAUUAAAAUAUUCAAAAAAGGAAAGCCGUACAACCUCGAUUUACAAGUAGCAAAACUCAAAAAGGAAAAUAUUAUUCAACUUCUCUAAUGAGUUCAAUCGACAGAAAGUUUUACGGGCUUCUUAAGAAGUCAUCGAAAAAAAGAGGAUUUAAAUUCCAUAUUUCACAGUAUAGUAGAAUACAUCAAAAUGCAUCGAAUCUUAUAAAUUACUACUUGGGAAAAAUCUCCCACAAAUAUUGGCUACUAUUUCCUAGAGAAUGUGUAUAGAAUCUAUACAUAUUUUUCAUUCGGCUACAUACAAAUGCGUGAUAAUAUUCUCUUGAUGAAUUUCAAAAGAAAUAAUCAUGACUUUACGCCUUCAUGAACAUUUCCAUUACAGUAUAUACAUAUAUAAUGUACAUGACUGCAAGUAUAAAAGAAAUGUAGGUAUCACCAAGGCCCGGGUUUUCUAAAUGGUAAUAAGAGUACGAUAAAGCAUUUCGGAGUCUCUGGAAAGACUCGAAACCAUAACAGCAUUAUCUCUGUUAGCAGCAGUCACAGGGUGAUUAUAAUACCUGGAGCUUCAUGAAGGAAAAAUACGGUGGCCCAUUUUUUUGCCAACUACAACUGCAUAAUACUCAUUAUAGUUGAGGAAAUCCCAGAAACGUGAUAUACCAAAUUCCCCAUGUUUAGGUGACCUGAUCUAAGUACAACUCUUAAGAUUCUUGGCAAAGGUUCUUAUGGAGAGCGCCUGUAACGAUAAAAGAUUCUUAAGUUGCUUUAUUAGCACAUGGCUAAUUUUCAUUUUCAUGCCUUAACAAGCCAUGACAAAAGACAUUUAGAGCUUCUCCUAAUAUUAAAGAAAUACAAGAUUUAGACUAGUAUAUGCUCUUAGACAGUAAUGACUCAACUAUCAAUGCUGUAACAUGUAACCAAAGCCGGGGUUUAGGGAGUCGUAGGGCAUAUCUCAUUUGUAAUUUUUCAAUUAAUUAUUCUUCAUCAUCUACUAGCAUCAUUUUCAAUUUCACCCCAUACAUCCAUCUACCUCUGUACACAAGUGAGGGUAUAACAAGAGAGACAGUGCAAGUAUCCCAUAUGAGUUAGAGACCGCACAAUAAACUAUAUGAUCCAGGUGGCCAUGCCUCUCAUUUUGAAAUAGAUGCUUUACUACACUUUUGUGCAUGAACUACUUAUUAUUCAAUGUCGCCAAUUAAAAUUUUGAUGAUGUACCUCUGUACACAAGUGAGGGUAUAACAAGAGAGACAGUGCAAGUAUCCCAUAUGAGUUAGAGACCGCACAAUAAACUAUAUGAUCCAGGUGGCCAUGCCUCUCAUUUUGAAAUAGAUGCUUUACUACACUUUUGUGCAUGAACUACUUAUUAUUCAAUGUCGCCAAUUAAAAUUUUGAUGCAUCAAGAGGCGUCCACUUAAUUAGCACAGGCACAGCAACCAACAUCGCAUAAAAAACUAAAAUAUAGGUCUAUUUGAACCUAUUUUCAGAUGCUUAGCACUUCAGCUUUAAGUGGAAUAAAGUUCAUUGUCCAAACAUAUUACACGGGACACAAAGAAAUGAACUUAAAAGGAUUCUUCAGUAUAAAAUAAUGGUGGAUGAAUGAAAUAGACAGAGGUUGACUUAUGCAGAAAUUACAACAAAUUAAGCUAAUCAGUGGGUGCCCAAGAUUACGGAUGCAAAUGCUGAAGGCUCACAUAACAAUUGUUUGAAUCAAGCUGAAAUAAUGGCCCGCAUCCAGGAAUUGAAAGGGGCAUUGGAUGAAUUAAUUAGACUAGUGGGAAGUGAGUUUGAAACAGGCUCCAGGAUGUUAUGUUGUCGCAAAUGUGGAGUGGACGUGGAUGAGUAUCCAGCUGCUGGAAAACUAGUGAACUUGACGCGUAAGGAGUCAUCAUCGAAUGCAGACUAUACUAAGAAAAAGCACGAAAUGAUCAGGCCCAUCUGAGAUUCAUGAGGGAUUGGAAGCGAAGUAUUCCAAAAAUGAUGAGGAGGUCGACUUGGUGGGAUUGGAGAGAGAUGAUAUCCACUCAGGGAUCGAAGUAGACUGGGAGGUGGGACCUUUGUCUAAAGAAGCGGAGGCGAGUAAGGAGAAUUUGGAGAUGGUGAAAAUGGUGCGAUGGACAUGAUUCCGCUGGCUGAUAGAUUACUGUCAGUUGAACAAGGGACGAGACAUGUAUUAGCAGAGGGUUUAGGUUCGGUAGUUGUGGAAAAACACGAUGUGACAUGUACGACUAGGGUUAUGAACACAUAUAAUAGAAGGUACUCUAAGUCCCUAGAAGAAAGUGAUAUGGGGACUCAAAAAGCUUUGGUGUUGUGGGUAGAUGAUGCCAAGAAGGGAAACAUAGAUAGAGAUGUCGUACAGGUAGAGGAAGAGGAUGAACGGUCCUUUGAUCAUUUGGAGUUUUGUCACGGAGAGGAAAUAGCGAAAGUGAAUGCGUUUGACACUAGACAGCCACCUUCAAAUUGGGUUCUGCAAAAAAUUCAAGAUUUUAGUAAGUUGGUUGGCGUGUCCUGUGAUGAAUAUGAAAAUAGACUUUUACAAUUAUUCGAGGAACUAGAGGCUAAUAGGAGACAGGGCAUGAGUACACAAGGAGGUCAAUUAAAAAGAAAAGGAGAUCGUGAACUUAAGCAGCUUGAAUGAUCAGUAAACUAUGACGGUAAAGGUGGCGAGUCAAAG
rnacentral:lncRNA from 1 species